CACGUAGGGUGCGAGCGUUGUCCGGAAUCACUGGGCGUAAAGGGCGCGUAGGUGGCUUGGCAAGCGUGUGGUGAAAGCCCGGGGCUCAACCCCGGGUCUGCCGUGCGAACUGCUAUGGCUUGAGCACUGUAGAGGCAGGUAGAAUUCCGGGUGUAGCGGUGGAAUGCGUAGAGAUCCGGAAGAAUACCGGUGGCGAAGGCGGCCUGCUGGGCAGUGGCUGACACUGAGGCGCGACAGCGUGGGGAGCAAACAGG
rnacentral:rRNA from 1 species